AGAAGCUUGGAGUCAUAAUAUAUUUUAACGUAAUAUGUUUGCUGUUCUUCAUCUUUUUAAAUAUGAAGUCUAUCCAUGUUUGUGUUUACAGAGGUCAUGUACACUGUGGUCAACUUUGUGGACGCUGAAGAGGUUUCUGGGUAAAGAUGAUUGAAAUAUAAUGAAGUAACAGUGGAAGCUAAAACAUCAGACUGAUCCAGACACUGAAGAAAUUGAUGUCACUGCAAUCUGGCCAAAAUGAUACAACUAUAUUGAAGUAGCCUACUGUAAUGAAGCUGCAGAACGUCACAGAGACUCUGAGGACAUCAACACAGAAAAUCAAGGCUCCAAAGAGAUGUCUGUCCAGAUGAGGGUGCAUCAACGUUACCUUUGCUGACAAGUAUAUGCUUUUAGCAGUUAACUUAACUCAAACCAUUUAAGGAAAUCGGUUGCCUUAAACCAUUAAGUUUUAAAAAACAUACAUUUGAGA